rnacentral:rRNA from 1 species
UAAGGGCGCACGGUGGAUGCCUUGGCACUAGAAGCCGAUGAAGGACGUUACUAACGACGAUAUGCUUUGGGGAGCUGUAAGUAAGCUUUGAUCCAGAGAUUUCCGAAUGGGGAAACCCAGCAUGAGUUAUGUCAUGUUAUCGAUAUGUGAAUACAUAGCAUAUCAGAAGGCACACCCGGAGAACUGAAACAUCUUAGUACCCGGAGGAAGAGAAAGAAAAUUCGAUUCCCUUAGUAGCGGCGAGCGAAACGGGAAGAGCCCAAACCAACAAGCUUGCUUGUUGGGGUUGUAGGACACUCUAUACGGAGUUACAAAGGACGACAUUAGACGAAUCAUCUGGAAAGAUGAAUCAAAGAAGGUAAUAAUCCUGUAGUCGAAAAUGUUGUCUCUCUUGAGUGGAUCCUGAGUACGACGGAGCACGUGAAAUUCCGUCGGAAUCUGGGAGGACCAUCUCCUAAGGCUAAAUACUCUCUAGUGACCGAUAGUGAACCAGUACCGUGAGGGAAAGGUGAAAAGCACCCCGGAAGGGGAGUGAAAUAGAACCUGAAACCGUGUGCUUACA